GCAAAUACAGGGUCUAUGCAGACCUUGUGCCCACAUCAUGUUCCGUAUCCAUGACACCAAGCAACAUACUCCAUGGGCCAUUCCAUCGAUGAACUUGCAACGAAGGGUGGACAACAGAGUCGGCUUCAUGGUUCGUACCACGCCGCAAGCAGCACAUUACGAAAAGGGACUUCGAUAGGGACAAACAAUGCCAUCAAUUAGGUAUGCAACACAGGAAACCCACAUAAUGCUCCAAGCCAAAAAGGCUUGCAACACGAAUGAAGAGGUAAGCACGCAUGGAAGUUGCUGCACAAGCAGACAUCCAACCAUCCGUAACAAACCAAACACCACUCAUCCACCUUUACGGACAACAUCCCCGAAGACCGCCUUGCUAAAAGCCGCCCACUCGACAACAAGGCCAAGCAAA
rnacentral:misc_RNA from 1 species